GAGUACGACGACGCCUGAGUGAGAACACCACAUCCCGCCCGAUUUGCGAAGUUAACCACUUACAGGCCCAGUUAGUACUGAGGUCCGUGAUGACUCGGGAACCCUGAGCGUCGUACUCU